AUCUUGUGUGAAAUGGCGUCGUAGAAUCGGAUUUCCUGUUCACCUCGCUUCGACAUUCUUGAAAAGUAUCGUAGAAGGACGAUCGAUCCGUUUUUGAUCGCACGAGAACUGAUUAACGUUUGGGAAUCGAUAGAACGUCGAGAUUUCUACGAAAAGAAGUAAGAAGUAAAAGAAGUCGAUGAAUCUUUUCUGGAUUUAUCGUUCGUCGCAUAGUCUUCGAAUCGUAAUAUAUUUCAAAAAACGUGCACAAAUUCAUUUGAUUUUUGAUAUACCUUAUGAAGAUGUUUAAAAUUUUAGUUAUAUAUCACGUACAACUAUCAUUUCAUUUGGAUUUUAAAUACAUUCAAUUCGUGGCAGCAUUAUGAUAUAAAAUGUAUUUACUUGCUAAAAUAAAUAACCGUUGAAAAAUCCAUAUAUUCAUAAUGACAAAAUAUUAUCCGCAAAAAACAAUCCAAGAUCUUCGUAAGACUUGUCAAGGUGAAAUAUAAUCACAAUAAUCCAAUUUGAUUAUAAACUUUUACUCGAAAAACUAAUUUUUCAUCUAUCUACAUACACUUUUUGAGAUAAAGUUUCCACAGAUGAAUCCAGACACUCUGUAUAUCGUUGUCCAUUUGCAUGAAAGAUCAGCUGGAAUGCAAAGGUUAUUCCGUCUCUUAAAGAUUUUAGACCGCAUCCGCUAAGAAUCGGGAUUUAAAGGGGGAAAAAAAAAAACCGAUAAAUCAUCAACGAA